GACUAUUCUGGGGUAGCUGAGAUUCAGGC
rnacentral:piRNA from 1 species